UCGUAACAAGGUUUCCGUAGGUGAACCUGCGGAAGGAUCAUUACCGAGUGAGGGCCCUUUGGGUCCAACCUCCCACCCGUGUUUAUUUUACCUUGUUGCUUCGGCGGGCCCGCCUUUACUGGCCGCCGGGGGGCUCACGCCCCCGGGCCCGCGCCCGCCGAAGACACCCCCGAACUCUGUCUGAAGAUUGAAGUCUGAGUGAAAAUAUAAAUUAUUUAAAACUUUCAACAACGGAUCUCUUGGUUCCGGCAUCGAUGAAGAACGCAGCGAAAUGCGAUACGUAAUGUGAAUUGCAAAUUCAGUGAAUCAUCGAGUCUUUGAACGCACAUUGCGCCCCCUGGUAUUCCGGGGGGCAUGCCUGUCCGAGCGUCAUUGCUGCCCUCAAGCCCGGCUUGUGUGUUGGGCCCCGUCCUCCGAUUCCGGGGGACGGGCCCGAAAGGCAGCGGCGGCACCGCGUCCGGUCCUCGAGCGUAUGGGGCUUUGUCACCCGCUCUGUAGGCCCGGCCGGCGCUUGCCGAUCAACCCAAAUUUUUAUCCAGGUUGACCUCGGAUCAGGUAGGGAUACCCGCUGAACCUAAGCAUAUCU
rnacentral:misc_RNA from 1 species